rfam:Oryza barthii chromosome 1, whole genome shotgun sequence.
AAUAAAUGCAGUUUUACACUAUUUAUAUCUAAUAUUUGACCGUUCAUCUUAUUUUAAAAUUUUUUUAUGAUUAGUAUUUUUAUUGUUAUUAGAUGAUAAAACAUGAAUAAUACUUUAUAAAUAACUUUUUAGUUUUUUUUUAAAUUUUUCAAAUAAGACGAACGGUAAAACGUUAGAUACGGAUACUCACGACUGUACUUAUU